rnacentral:lncRNA from 1 species
ACCACUUUGUAUCAUUAUUGUUUAAUGUUGUUAUCUAAUCUAAAAUGAACAAAAACAUGAUAAAAUGGAAAAGACUAAAAAGAUUUAAUUUGAGGACUAUUGGACCAUAUGGACAUUGUGUAUGACCUAAGCUUGGAGACUUAGAGGACUUGUCAGUACCCUUGCAUUUGGACUUGGACUUUUGUGAUUGACCUAUGCAACUUGGAGUUUCUGAGGACUUGUAAUAUUUUAUUGCGAAAAUAUCUUUCAUUCAUGGCCCUACCUUAGGGAGAUAUGCUUUGUAAUUCCAUUAUCCAAUUGUUAGCUUAGGACACAAUGCACACACAAGACUUUCUCUUGGGCUACCUUACAACGAGACCCUUUAUUUCUCACACAAAUCCCUUCUAUUUUUCAUGUAUCCCUCUCCCCAAUUUGGUGUACUUUUUACUCGUUUUCCUUUAUCUUGUUGUUGCUUGUUAGCCAACCUUAGGAUUUAGG